UGAGGAAUAUUGGUCAAUGGGCGAGAGCCUGAACCAGCCAAGUCGCGUGAAGGAAGACUGCCUUAUGGGUUGUAAACUUCUUUUAUACAGGAAUAAAAAGGCUUACGUGUAGGCCAUUGCAAGUACUGUAUGAAUAAGCAUCGGCUAACUCCGUGCCAGCAGCCGCGGUAAUACGGAGGAUGCGAGCGUUAUCCGGAUUUAUUGGGUUUAAAGGGUGCGCAGGCGGGCUUUUAAGUCAGCGGUGAAAUCUGGACGCUUAGCGUCCAAACUGCCGUUGAAACUGGGAGUCUUGAGUAUGGAUGAAGUAGGCGGAAUUCGUUGUGUAGCGGUGACAUGCAUAGAUAUAACGAGGAACUCCGAUUGCGUAGGCAGCUUACUAAGCCAUAACUGACGCUCAUGCACGAAAGCGUGGGGAUCAAACAGGAUUAGAUACCCUGGUAGUCCACGCCGUAAAACGAUGAUUACUAGUUGUAUGCGAUAAUGAUAGUAUGUGACUAAGCGAAAGCGAUAAGUAAUCCACCUGGGGAGUACGCCGGCAACGGUGAAACUCAAAUGAAUUGACGGGGUCAUAGCUGUUUCCUG
rnacentral:rRNA from 1 species